GAAACCCAGUUUGUACUAAAAAUACAAAAAUGAGCUGGGUGUUGUGGCACAUGCCAGUAAUCCCAGCUACUCUGGAGGCUGAGGCAAGAGAAUCACUUAUCAUUUCAUCUGAAAAUAUUUUACUAUGUAUUUCUGCAAGUUAUGGGCUUAUUAUUAUUAUAAAUAUUAUUUGCGGUUACUAUCCUUUUUGAGAACCCAACUGUCCCAUCUUUAGUGAGGGUGUCUCUUUAAUUUGGCUUCUCAACCCUUUUGACAUCACCCUAGUGAUCUUUAAAAGAUUUCUCUUAUGUUCUAGUAUAAUAAGAUGCUCUAGCUCAUCUUGUCUAUUUCCUGAACCAGAUCUGACACAGUCAUUUCUCCAAAGAGACUUCACGUGCGAAACGAUGUUGCGAGAUCACAGUCUGAGCACUAGACGUGCUCCUUGCUCCAUAUUUCUUUGCCCCUUUCAGUGGACAAGGCUAUAUAAAAUAUGCACUUUUAAAAGAAAAGGAUACCUUACGAGCAUAGUGACAUAGUCAGCUGAAAUAGAAGACAGAGAAAUUUUACUUUUUGAUUUUAUAUUUGUGACUCUAAUCACUUAUCCUGAAAUUCUUGGUUCUGGCAAAGUUAACAUAAUUAUUUGUUUUUACCUUACAUGUCUUAGUUUCAGAAAAAUGAUGCCCAAAUCAUUCAAUAUAAAUAUUGAAUACAGUUUAAAAUUCCUCCGCAGUAGGACAUGCCUGUUACGUUUUUCUGUUUUCAAAUAACUACAAAGAUUUUCUUAACAUUAUAAGAGUAAUAUUCUUAGAGGAGUGUAGAGCUGAGAGGAAAUACUUUUGUGUUUAUAGCGAAAAAAGUAUAUUGAAGUGGAAUAGUUGGUCAGAUUACACAGUGGAGACGAUGGAGCCUACUAAGAAGGUAAGACUCCCACACUUGGACUCACUUCAGCCUUCU
rnacentral:lncRNA from 1 species